rnacentral:misc_RNA from 1 species
CGGAGCAACAAAAUGGCCCAUCCAAGCAUAGCUACCCAUCCAUAACAAAGCAAGCUUUCCAUGAACUCAUCAGAAAAAGAAAACUCAGCAAAACUCAGCUCAGCACUAGCAAAAGGGGGUUGCUGCAGAGCUUUCUGGCACUCUAAGCCAUAAGGAGGCCUUCCCAACCGUGUUGUAGAAAUAAUUUCCAGAGAUGUGAAAACAACCAAAUCGCAAGGAAAC